GACGAACGCUGGCGGCGUGCUUAACACAUGCAAGUCGAACGGAAAGGCCCUGCUUGCAGGGUGCUCGAGUGGCGAACGGGUGAGUAGCACGUGGGUGAUCUGCCCCUUACUUUGGGAUAAGCCUGGAAAACUGGGUCUAAUACUGGAUAGGACCAUGCUGUAUGUGGUGUGGUGGAAAGAUUAGUUUCGGUAAGGGAUGAGCUCGCGGCCUAUCAGCUUGUUGGUGGGGUAGUGGCCUACCAAGGCGUCGACGGGUAGCCGGCCUGAGAGGGUGGACGGCCACAUUAGUGCUGAGGUACGGCCCAGACUCCUACGGGAGGCAGCAGUGGGGAAUAUUGCACAAUGGGCGCAGGCCUGCUGCAGCAGCGCCGCGUGGUGGAUGACGGCCUUCGGGUUGUAGAAUCCUUUCAGCCAUGACGAAGCCCUUGUGGUGACGGUAGUGGGAGAAGAAGCACCGGCUAACUACGUG
rnacentral:rRNA from 1 species